UACGUAGGGGGCAAGCGUUGUCCGGAAUCAUUGGGCGUAAAGAGCGUGUAGGCGGUCCGGUCAGUCGGUUGUGAAAGUCAAGGGCUCAACCCUUGAAUGCCGGCCGAUGCUGCCGGGCUAGAGUCCGGAAGAGGUGAGUGGUAUUCCUGGUGUAGCGGUGAAAUGCGCAGAUAUCAGGAGGAACACCAAUGGCGAAGGCAGCUCACUGGGACGGUACUGACGCUGAGACGCGAAAGCGUGGGGAGCAAACAGG
rnacentral:rRNA from 1 species